AUUGCAGAAAGGGGGUUGUUCAUUUCUGUCAAGCAAAUCUUGGUAUCGGAAACUUAUCUCGCUGUUUUCGGGAAAAAUUUGAUUAGAAGCUUAUACUGUUCGUGUAGUAUAUUGUGACUGUGUCUUCAUCUAAAACAAAUUAACGAUGUCGGAAGAGCCAGAUACGCCGCCCUUUAGCACAGUGGAUAUCAACAAUGAUAAUAGGGAUGACGAAGAUCUUUUCGCGUCUGCGGUCCAGGAAGUCAGUUUGGACUCGGAGGUGAAUGGUGCGCGCGAAGGAAUCGAGAAGGCCGCCAUUAGUGACGCUCCGCCGUCUAUCACCGCUUCACUGGCCAGCCCAAUCAUGGAGGAGAUAGCGACAGAACGCGCGAACAACAUAAUAAUCACGAUCACGGAGCCACAAAAGAUCGGAGAAGGCAUGAGUUCGUACGUGGCGUACCGAGUCCUCACCAAGACUAAUAUGCCGAUAUUCAGCAAGCAUGAGUUCGCGGUGCUAAGGCGGUUCAGCGACUUCCUCGGUCUACAUGAGAAGCUGACUGAGAAGUACUUAAGGUCCGGCAGGAUCAUACCGCCGGCUCCUGAGAAGAGUAUAGUUGGUACCACAAAACUGAAGAUGACAUCUACCCCGUCGACGGAGAGUGCGAACGGCAGCUCGGCGGCGGGCAGCGUGCAGUCGCAGUUCGUGGAGCGACGCCGCGCAGCGCUCGAGCGCUUCCUCAACCGAGUGGCGCAGCACCCCGUGCUCUGCAUCGACCCGGACUUCAGGGAGUUCCUCGAGUCAGACACAGAGUUGCCGAAAGCGACGAGUACGUCAGCGCUGAGCGGCGCGGGAGUGCUGCGUCUCUUCAACAAGGUCGGCGAGACCGUCAACAAGAUCACGUACAGAAUGGACGAGUCUGACCCGUGGUUCGAGGAGCGCUCAGCCCGUGUAGAAGCGCUGGAGGCGUGCCUCCGCCGGCUGUACGGCGCGUGCGAGGCGCUGGCGGGCGAGCGGCGCGAGCUCAGCGCGCGCACGCACGAGGCGGCCCGCGCAUGCGCAGCGCUCUCCGGCGCCGACCCACACGCACCGCUCUCCCGCGCACUCUCACACACUGCAGACCUGCACGAGAAGAUCGAGCACCUGCGACUAGAGCAGUCUAACACAGACUUCUACGUGCUGGCAGAGCAUGUCAAGGACUACCUCGGACUCAUCGGAGCCAUCAAGGAUGUCUUCCAUGAGAGAGUCAAGGUAUUCCAAAACUGGCAGCACGCUCAGAUGCAGCUGACGAAGCGGAGAGAGAACAAAGCCAAGGCCGAGCUCGCCAACCGGCCCGAGAAGAUCGAACAAGCCGCCAAUGAGAUUAUUGAGUGGGAAGCGAAGGUAGAGCGGGGCCAGCAGGAGUUCGACACGAUAUCGCGCGUCAUCAAGAAGGAGCUGGAGCGCUGGGACGAGGUCCGUCUGCACGACCUGCGGACCGCGCUGCUGCGGUACCUGGACGACCAUAUGAAGCAUCAGGCACAGGUACACACACAAUAUCUACUUUAUUGACCUGCGGACCGCGCUGCUGCGGUACCUGGACGACCAUAUGAAGCAUCAGGCACAGUCGAUCCGCUACUGGGACGCGUUCCUACCGGAGGCGCGCGCGAUCAAAUGAGUGGGACUCUCCGCGCUCGCACUCCGCGACUGCGCUAACGUUAGUAAAUGAAUUCCACUACCCUACCCUACAUACACAUUCAUACAUACACUACUUGGGUGGAACAGAGUAAAUUGAACCUUGUAGGCUAUGAAAUUGAAUAACUUUUUGUUCACAUCAAGUGAGUAAAAAUUUCAUUCAUUGUGGUUGAAAUAACACUAUAGAAAUAUGUGAUAUGAGCAUUUAGUCAACGUUUGUUUUAGCACUUUACUCUACAGUUUUUUUCACGCGAAUCGCGUCAAUGUAUAUGAAAAGUGCUGAAAACUAAAGUUAUUCAAUUUCACUAUCUGAAAUAGCAACUACAAAGUUAUGUUUAUUCUGUUACACCCUGUAUACAGUGCGAAAAAGAGAUGACGCUAUCUGGUAUAACUUCCAUCUCUCUCUCACUAAAUUUUAAACAACCUCCGUUUAGAAUGAAUGGAGUGUUUGUAUAUGAAUAAAUUGUAUAUUUUCCACGCCUUAUAUAAAACUGUAUAUUUGCAAAUAUGGCUGCCCACGCGCAUGCUUCAAAUUUCGUAUACAAAACACUCUGUUUAUUCCUUAAUCUAAUAUAUUUCUUCCAUAAAGACAAAUAUAUAAUGUUCUAAAAUAGUUAUCAUGAGGCUUUGCAAUAGAUAAAUAAAAUUAAUAUAAAAAUUAUUGUUUGGAUUUUUUGUGAUGAAUUCUAUCAAUGUUUGCUCAGACGUUUUCGAGAUUAUCGCACACACAGACAAAGUCUGACUGUAUUCUACACUUCUGAGCUUGUUUGUAUAAAGAUUUCUGUUAUUUUUUGUUAUUAAAUAUAAAAUAAUUAUAUAAAUACAGUUAAAAACUUACCUUCACAUAAAUAAUUUCGAAACAUCACACUUUUCUAUCCCUUCAAAGAAUUUAAAUGUAUAAUUUAAUUUAUAUAGAUAUCUAAUUAUAUAUCUCAUAGUACUAUAACAUAGUAAAUGUAUAAUAUAAUAAAUAUGUAUAACUUAUAGUAUAGUAACUAAAAUUGUAAUUGAUUUUAGAUUAAAAUUUGUAUUUUCUUAUUAUUUUUCAUGUAUUUAUAAGUCCGAAUAUAGUAAAAUUUUAGUGUAAAUCUUAUAUAAACUACGUCAUCAGGUAUUCAUAAGAUCUAUUAAAAAUAUUAAUUAAAAUAAGCGGAAUUUUAAUGCCAAAUAAAAAUGACAUUCCAAAUUGUUGCUUUUUAAAAAAAACACGUUUUUUUUAUAUUUUUUGUAACUGGCAAUAUUAAUUCAUUUACUAACGUUAUGUUUAACGAACAUAAAUACUUUUUAUUUUACGAUUAAAUUGUAUAAAAGUAGAUAUGUUCUCAUAUGUUUUUUUUUUCUAUAUAAUUUUUAUUUUAAACGAAUGUAAGACUUAUUUUUUAAUUCGUACGUCUCAUUUUUAUGCGCACUUCAGUCUUCGCUAGAAAAUUAUUUUCUAAGGUCCAAUAGAAAAGUUUGUUGAAAUUCUGUUCUGACAUAUAAAUAAAAGAAAAUGUAUACAACAUUGGGAUUGAUAAUAAUUGAAGCCUGGCUAAUGCUUAGUUAUUCAUUUUACUAUUUUCAAACAGAUAGAAGUCUCGCUUGCUCUCUUUUCCUUUUAAAUAUAAUGUGAUAGACGUUUCAACCACUGGAUAGACUGAGGGCUUAGACCAAGUUUUACGUUUAACGAGAUCGAAACGAAAGUGCAUUCGACGCUCUGAUUGGUUGGUUCAUUCGCACCGGACAAUCAAUACUCUUAGCACGAGUUUUGUUUUCGUUUAAUGUGAGCUGAUUCGGCGCUCGUUUCGACUCAGGCUAUAAAAUUUAGAUAUUUUUUUGAGAUUUCUCAAUUGAAUUACAGCAGAAAUUAUUAUGUAAUUAUAAAUUAUCAUUAUAUUAUAUGUGCAUUACAAUUUUUAUAGCUAGUAUUCAAUCAACCAAGCUAUGAUCCGUGAUAAAGGAUGACAAAUAGUUAUCUGUGUAAUUAUUAAUUAAUUGUAAACAGGAAAAGACAUGGAUAACAUAAUAUGAUAACAAUAUCAUACAAAUAGAUAAUAAACAUACAUACUGCAGACUAUGUCAUAUAAUAUCAACCUGCAUUCUGUAUAUCAUGCAUCCUUAGUACGAGUGUGCUUUACGUUUAAAGUAAUCGAAACGAGACCGCGUUCGGCGUCCUGAUUGGCUGGUUUAUUCGAGCCAGCCAAUCAGAGCGCCUAACGCGGUUUCGUUUCGUUUUCGUUCGACCUAAAGCAAACUCAUACUGAGGAUACUGUUUGUUAAUCUGUUAGCCAGGCUUCAAUACAGGAUGAAAUUAAACAAGUAAUACAUAUUAUUACAAUAACUAUUGUGAGAUAUACUAAAUUAACUUAAAAAUCACGGUCACGAGUUUUUGAACGGUUAAAACAAAAUUAUUAUAAAACCAUUACACAUAUUAUGUAACUAAUCACUGGUGCAAUAUAUUUGUAACAUCAGUACUUUUACAUACUAACGCCCGAAUACUCAAACGCUACUCAAUUUUAAGUUGUACUUAAACAUCGUGCUAUUUCUGUCAUUUUAUAAAGAAUUGAUAGGGACAGAACUACAUUUGAGAGCGUCUUAAAAUUGAGUAGCGUUUGAGUAUUCGAGCAUAAAUGUAUAGUUUAAUAACUAUGACACACGCUGCAGUUUCCCUCGACAUCAAUAGGGAUGAUGAUGGGGUAUGAAAAUUAAAAAUCUAUUUAGUCCGUGAGUUAGGUAAUAAAAAAAUAUUAGACACGUAUUUUUUUAUUUUGUCGUAUAAGAUAACAAUGCUUACAUAAAACGUGUCAAAGUUUAGGAGUGGGAGCUAACUACGUCACUAUUGAGUAUAAAACGUACUCAAAAGUGACGUUACGCGAUAUUUCAAAUCGAUAUAUUUUCGAAAGUAUUUGUUUCCGUAAAAAAAUAAAAAUACGUGUCUAAUAUUUUAAAAUACAAGACGGACAUUAAAAUAAAAAUUUGUCAUCUACCCUAUUCUCAAGAAUUUAUUCAACACUACAUUGUAUAUUUUUUUAUUAUUACCUAUAGUCAUUUGUUUUUUAUUUUAAUCCUAAACGUAAGAAUACUAGAUGUAUCGCAUAUUAGAAAAAUGUAUUCGAAAAAGAUUGGUUACGCGUAUGUUGCUGUCAAAGUAUUCAAUUGGAGAUUUUUAAUAAUAAAUAAUUAAUUAUGUAAUUAAUUAUAUGGUUCUAUUUUUCAACACCAUGUAUAUUUUAUACUAUUAGAGCUCCUCGAGUUAAAGGAUUUUGGACUUUAUAACCGAACAGCAAAGAGUUUAAAAUCGAAUGAAGAAUUAAGACUUUUAGUGUAGCUUAACGUGCUGACUAUACAUGGUGUUCGAAAAUUACAAAGUUUAUGUACGUUUUAGACUUGUUUCCCAAAAUUGUUUCGUUGUACAGUAACGAUUUAUUUAUCGAUGUUAGUUGUAUGUUGUACAUGAUUAGUUUGAAGUUAUCAGCAUCCUUUUUAAACUUAAAUAAGUAGAUACUAUCUAUUCGCAUUAUGAUGUAAAGCCGUUGGUCUCUCCGGUCGUGUUGGUCUGCCGCUCCAUCGAGUUCAGUAUCCUUAGUAGGAGUUUGCUUUACGUUGAACGAAAAUUUAACGAGAACGCGUUCGGCACUCUGAGUGGUCGGCGCGAAUGAAGCAACCAUUCAGAAUUAACGCGCUCUCGUUUCGCUUUCGUUAAACGUAAACCAUACUCGUACUAAGGGUACAGAGAGUGAGGGAACAGAGAGUGCACCUGAGUUUACUGCGUAGUGGACUAGUCUAGUUAGACAGACUAACCACCAUGAUCGAAAUCGAUCGGGAGAUUUAUUUUAAUGUGAAAAUUAUUUGAAACUGUGCAGUCUCUUAGUCUGAUUUUACGACACAAGCAGUGAAGAAAAGACAAUAUGCUGUAGUCUGACGUCACUAUACGACUUAACUGAUAUCAAGCAACAUUGUGUGUACCUAGUUUUUUUUUAUGUUUCAUAGGCCGACGUUUGGCCGCUAUCUCGCCUAAUGGGAAAUGAUGAUGCGGCCUACGAUGGAGCACGUCUGCCCAUAAGCAACCAAUUCAAUAUUCAAUAUUAUUCUACUUUAAAAGGAUGCCAAUAACUUCGACUUUCCCUGUAGAUAUUGAGCAUUUAGUAUUUUAUCGUGACGUGUAUAAACUGUCCAAAUUGAUAUCUCUGACCGUAACAAUAUAAUAAUAUACUUAGAUAUGAAUAUAGGUAGAAUGAUUGAAAAAUGUUCGAGUCUAAGGCCGCGUUUCCAUUGACGCGGAGCGGGGCGGAGAAGAGCGGAGAAGAGCGGUGAAAAGUUGUCAGUGUUUCCACUGACGCGGAGCUGGGCGGAGAGGGGCGGAGAAGAGCGGUGAAAAAUGGUCAGCGGAGUGGAGUGAGGCGGAGCGGAGCAUACUUUUGGAAUCAUAUUGAGAGAUUGACCAUGUCUAAAUACAAUAGACCCUUUAUCGAUCAAAUGUCGCAAUCGAUAUUUUCAUUUAGA